UUCUUGUCUUAGAUUUGUCUAGAUACAGAUGUAUCUAAUACUAAAAUGUGACUUGAUACAUCCGUAUCUAGACAAAUCUAAGACAAGAAUUUUGGGACGGAGGGAGUACUUU
rnacentral:pre_miRNA from 1 species